AACGAACGCUGGCGGCAGGCUUAACACAUGCAAGUCGAACGCAUCCUUCGGGGUGAGUGGCAGACGGGUGAGUAACGCGUGGGAACGUGCCCUUCAGUUCGGGAUAACCCAGGGAAACUUGGGCUAAUACCGGAUACGUGCGAGAGCAGAAAGAUUUAUCGCUGAAGGAUCGGCCCGGGUCUGAUUAGCUAGUUGGUGGGGUAAUGGCCCACCAAGGCGACGAUCAGUAGCUGGUCUGAGAGGAUGAUCAGCCACAUUGGGACUGAGACACGGCCCAAACUCCUACGGGAGGCAGCAGUGGGGAAUAUUGGACAAUGGGCGCAAGCCUGAUCCAGCCAUGUCGCAUGAGUGAUGAAGGCCUUAGGGUUGUAAAGCUCUUUCGUCCGGGACGAUAAUGACGGUACCGGAAGAAGAAGCCCCGGCUAACUUCGUGCCAGCCGCCGCAGUAA
rnacentral:rRNA from 1 species